CAAACAAAGGGUCACUGCCCUGCUGGGAGGACAUGAUGCUGGACUUGUGGGCUGAGCUGGGGAGCUGAUUGCAGGGGUGCAUCCUGCUCCUCCAGCCCAUUUCCAAGGAACAGCUUUAGCUGCCUCUUAACUCAUCUCUACCGAGGACCCAGAAGGGGAAAAACAGGGCAGGUUUGCAGCAGCCACAUCUGAUGUUUUGCAAGUCUUAUUUGGAAAAGAGUAUGGAUGAUCCUUGCCUAUGAAAACUGUUUCCUCAGGACCCAUAAGUUACCCAUUUCCAGGGGCAAUAUGAAGAACAACGGAUGAUUGCAGCAAGGAAAUCUGAAAGCAUGAAGUCUUACUGUAUGAUUAUCUUCUACAAGAAGAGUCAGAUGUUCUAGCCACUGCAGAGCAGUAAGAGGGCAACUCAGCGAUUGAAUCAUGCAAGAUCAUGCUCGAGGGACCGGGAAGUCUCGCGAGAAGAGAGGAUGACGUGAGCUGUAAGAGGUUUGCGACAAGUCGAGUCUGCUCAGGGGAGCAGUUUCCCUUUUCCACAAGGGAAAAGGAGCAAUGAGACCAGAAUAUGAGGAAAUCCCCGUGUGGAGACUGAGAGUGCCUUGGAGGAGCGUUUGGGAGAAACUCUCCAUGAUCAAAGCGCAUGGACUUCGCAGAGGAUGUCUGAUGUUUGCUGAUUUUAUCCACAAUGAUUUUGACAAUUGAUUUAGAUGACUUGUGGCAUGUUUUCAAAUAAAAGAAAAUUUGUGUGA